GACGAACGCUGGCGGCGUGCUUAACACAUGCAAGUCGAACGGAAAGGCCCUGCUUUUGUGGGGUGCUCGAGUGGCGAACGGGUGAGUAACCCGUGAGUAACCUGCCCUUGACUUUGGGAUAACUUCAGGAAACUGGGGCUAAUACCGGAUAGGAGCUCCUGCUGCAUGGUGGGGGUUGGAAAGUUUCGGCGGUUGGGGAUGGACUCGCGGCUUAUCAGCUUGUUGGUGGGGUAGUGGCUUACCAAGGCUUUGACGGGUAGCCGGCCUGAGAGGGUGACCGGCCACAUUGGGACUGAGAUACGGCCCAGACGCCUACGGGAGGCAGCAGUGGGGAAUAUUGCACAAUGGGCGGAAGCCUGAUGCAGCAACGCCGCGUGCGGGAUGACGGCCUUCGGGUUGUAAACCGCUUUCGCCUGUGACGAAGCGUGAGUGACGGUAAUGGGUAAAGAAGCACCGGCUAACUACGUG
rnacentral:rRNA from 1 species